rnacentral:rRNA from 1 species
UACGGGGGGGGCAAGCGUUGUCCGGAAUCAUUGGGCGUAAAGCGCGUGUAGGCGGUUCAGUAAGUCUGCUGUGAAAGUCCAGGGCUCAACCCUGGGAUGCCGGUGGAUACUGCUGGGCUAGAGUCCGGAAGAGGCGAGUGGAAUUCCUGGUGUAGCGGUGAAAUGCGUAGAUAUCAGGAGGAACACCGGUGGUGUAGACGGCUUUCUGGACCGUAACUGACGCUGAGACACGAAAGCGUGGGUAGCAAACAGG